rnacentral:rRNA from 1 species
UGAGGAAUAUUGGUCAAUGGGCGGGAAGCCUGAACCAGCCAAGUAGCGUGCAGGAUGACGGCCCUACGGGUUGUAAACUGCUUUUUUGCGGGAAUAAAGUGGCCCACGUGUGGGCCUUUGCAUGUACCGCACGAAUAAGGACCGGCUAAUUCCGUGCC